rnacentral:rRNA from 1 species
AGGGUGUAAACGCUGCAGACUUGGUGGUUGGGGGUCCCGUUUGGGGGCAUUCAGUGCCGGAGAGAAGUUGUUAAGUCUGCUACUUGGGGAGUACGUCCGCAAGGAUGAAACUUAAAGGAAUUGGCGGGGGAGCACCGCAACGGGAGGAGCGUGCGGUUUAAUUGGAUUCAACACCGUAAACUCACCAGGGAAGACUGUUACAUGAAGGCCGAGAUGAAGACUCUGCUAGAUUUUCAGAGAGGUGGUGCAUGGCGUCAGUGACU